rnacentral:rRNA from 1 species
GGCGGACGGGUGAGUAAUUGCGUAGGAAUUUACCUCAAAGCGGGGGAUAGCCCGGAGAAAUCCGGAUUAAUACCGCAUGUGCUCUACGGAGGAAAGCGGGCCUCUUCUUGAAAGCUCGCACUUUGAGAUAAGCCUACGUCGGAUUAGCUUGUUGGUAGGGUAAAAGCCUACCAAGGCGACGAUCCGUAGCUGGUUUGAGAGGAUGAUCAGCCACACUGGGACUGAGACACGGCCCAG